AGGCUUCUGAUGAGUUCUCUUCUUCUGACAGCUCACCAACACUAUCUUAAGGCUUAACGAAAGCCCAUUUAAUAGUUUUAAGCCCAAUGUAGCCCUUUUAAACACUGCAAUCCCUAGUUACAACACAAACCACUGGAAUGAAAAAAAUAGUUGAAGGCAGCCGGGAGAGUAUAAGACUAUAAGUAAAGCGAUAAUAUGAAUUAUUGUAAAAACGUUGAAGUUUCAUAUGAAUUAUUCAGAUGACAAACCAAAUUUUUUUAAUAUUAAAUGUCCUUGCUCUCUUCUAAUUCAAGACGGAGCAGCUCCAACAACUUGAUAUCAAACUUGCUCUCAACGUAACAUAUCCAUCACUAAUGGGAACUGGGAGUAAAAUAACAUUUUUUUUUUUUUUGUCGACCGGGAGUAAAAUAACAUUAACAAACACAUUUCCACUUGAUACUGAUUUAUUCAAGACCAUACAAACAAGUAAGUAAAUACAGAGCACCACUUUUCAGAGGUGUCAUUGCAAAUGAAAAAACAGGAUACUAGAAGUUGACCUUCUAGACAUCAU
rnacentral:lncRNA from 1 species